rnacentral:lncRNA from 1 species
AUUAUUAACAAACAUCUCAAAAUAAAAUAAAAAUGGAUUUUAAAUUUAAGUUACCUUAUUUUGUUUAAUGAAAAAUAAAUUAAUUGAUGGCUCUAUUUCAAUUUUUUCGUUGAAAAUUUUUACUUAUGAUAUAUAUUUAUAUUUUUGUUUUUGACCGACUGUAAAAUUUAUUGUGCAAAGUAAUGAAUUUAUAUUUACAGAAUUAUAUUAGGGUACGAAAAUUAAUUUAAACAAAAUCAAAUUGAAAAAUCACACUUAAUUACAGUGAAAAAAACUUUUGUAGAAUAAAAAACCUCAUCUACACUUAAUUACCUAAUAAUAUAUAUAUAUAUAUAUAUACACGUCUCUUUCCCUUCUCUCUAUCACUCUUGCCUGCAACAACUGUUAACACGAGACUUGGAAUAGAAAUUCAAGUCAAGAAGUGUCUAUUAUCCCAUUUUUCCAGGGGCGGUAUAUAUAUAUAUUAUACAGGGG